rnacentral:lncRNA from 1 species
AAUACUCUAUGCCAGGGGCGAUACGGCCACGCCUGGACUUCAUAUGCUCUAUGCCAGGGGCGAUACGGCCACACCUGGACUUCUCAUGCUCUAUGCCAGGGGCGAUACGGCCACACCUGGACUUCUCAUCUCAUAUCAUAUCGUACAUGCCAUGUCAUAUCAUUCCAUAUCAUGUCAUAACAUACUGAGGGCUAGAGGAUCAUCCAGUAUCCAUCCACAUCAUCAUCA